GCCUGGGUGGCUCAGUCGGUUGAGCGUCUGACUUUGGCUCAGGUCAUGAUCUCGCGGGUUCGUGUGUUCGAGCCCACUUUGGGCU
rnacentral:tRNA from 1 species